CUGAAACUCGCCUACAUGAAGCUGGAGUUACUAGUAAUCGCAGAUCAGAAUGCUGCGGUGAAUGCGUUCCCGGGUCUUGUACACACCGCCCGUCACACCACGGAAGUUGGGGCGCCCGAAGCCACUUAGCUAACCCUUUUGGGAAGCGAGUGUCGAAGGUGAAAUCAAUAACUGGGGUGAAGUCGUAACAAGGUAAC
rnacentral:rRNA from 1 species